rnacentral:rRNA from 1 species
CCUACGGGGGGCAGCAGUAGGGAAUCUUUCACAAUGGGCGAAAGCCUGAUGGAGCAACGCCGCGUGCAGGAUGAAGGCCUUCGGGUUGUAAACUGCUUUUAUAAGCGAGAAAUAUGAUGGUAACUUAUGAAUAAGGAUCGGCUAACUACGUGCCAGCAGCCGCGGUCAUACGUAGGAUCCGAGCAUUAUCCGGAGUGACUGGGUGUAAAGAGUUGCGUAGGUGGCAUAAUAAGUAGCUAGUGAAAUCUGGUGGCUCAACCAUUCAGACUAUUAGCUAAACUGUUAAGCUCGAGACCGUUAGGGGUAACUGGCAUUUCUAGUGUAGGAGUGAAAUCCGUAGAUAUUAGAAGGAACACCAAUAGCGUAGGCAGGUUGCUGGGACGGUUCUGACACUAAGGCACGAAAGCGUAGGGAGCAAACGGGAUUAGAUACCCGAGUAAUC